rnacentral:rRNA from 1 species
AUGGUAGGGGGAAGACAAGGUGUAGCCCUGGUAGACACUGGCAGUACUAAUACAUUCAUUGAUAUGAAGUUUGCUCUAAAAAGUAACUUUCAUCUGAUCAAUACACCCACAAAGAAAGUGACAGUAGCAGGUGGGGGAUCAUUGAGUUCAGGUGCUUAUGCUCCCAAUACCAGUUUCAAGAUCUGCAAUGAGACAUUUUCAAACGAUUUUACAGUGCUGGAACUGCAAGGAUAUGAUGUGGUUCUAGGUUGUGAUAUGCUCAAACAACACAACCCCAUAGCAAUGGACUUUGAAGCCAGAACAGUCACUAUGACCAAAGAUAAGCUGACACCUGUCACAUUCCCUGAUUACACAACUACUGUUGUUCCUAAAAUAAUUUCAGCAGAGAAACUAGAACAUAUGUGUUCUAAAGGAGCAGUGGGUUUUACAAUGAGCCUCCAGUUUAUGUCCACUGCUGGCAAAUAA